UAAUGUCUGGGAAACUGCCUGAUGGAGGGGGAUAACUACUGGAAACGGUAGCUAAUACCGCAUAAUGUCGCAAGACCAAAGUGGGGGACCUUCGGGCCUCAUGCCAUCAGAUGUGCCCAGAUGGGAAUAGCUAGUAGGUGGGGUAACGGCUCACCUAGGCGACGAUCCCUAGCUGGUCUGAGAGGAUGACCAGCCACACUGGAACUGAGACACGGUCCAG
rnacentral:rRNA from 1 species